UUUUUAGUAUAAGUAUGUCUGUCCCAUGCAAUAUUUGGAACAUACUUAUACUAAAA
rfam:Pongo abelii chromosome 2b.